UGGUGGAGGGGGAGAGGAGUAAAUGUAGGGAUGCGGUUCCGAUUUCUCCGGAGGAGGUGGAGAUUCGUAGUGGUAUGGAGGAGGUGGUGAUUUUUCUGGUGGUGGUGGGGACUUGUAGUGGUAUGGAGGAGGAGGUGAGUGCUCCGGUGGCGGUGGAGAUUUGUAGUAGUAUGGAGGAGGAGGCGAGUGCACCGGUGGCGGUGGGGAUUUGUAGUAGUAUGGGGGAGGAGGUGAGUGCACCGGUGGCGGUGGGGAUUUGUAGUAGUAUGGAGGAGGUGGAGAGUGCACCGGAGGUGGUGGGGAUUUGUAAUAGUAUUUAGGAGAAGGGGGUGGCGGUGACUUGUAAUAGUAUUUGGGAGAAGGUGGCUUGUAGUAAUACGUUGGUGCGGGUGGCGGCGGCGACUUGUAGUAGUAUUUUGGAGAAGGUGGUGGUGGCGAUUUGUAGUGGUAUUUGGGAGAAGGCGGUGGUGGUGACUUGUAGUGGUAUUUUGGAGAAGGUGGUGGUGGCGAUUUGUAGUAGUAUUUGGGAGAAGGCGGCUUGUAGUGAUACGUUGGUGCCGGUGGCGGUGGUGACUUGUAAUAAUACGUCGGUGUGGGAGGCGGAG
rnacentral:lncRNA from 1 species